AGAGUUUGAUCAUGGCUCAGGACGAACGCUGGCGGCGUGCUUAACACAUGCAAGUCGAACGGAAAGGCCCUUCGGGGUACUCGAGUGGCGAACGGGUGAGUAACACGUGGGUGAUCUGCCCUGCACUCUGGGAUAAGCCUGGGAAACUGGGUCUAAUACCGGAUAGGACCGCAUGCUUCAUGGUGUGUGGUGCAAAGCUUUUGCGGUGUGGGAUGAGCCCGCGGCCUAUCAGCUUGUUGGUGGGGUAAUGGCCUACCAAGGCGACGACGGGUAGCCGGCCUGAGAGGGUGACCGGCCACACUGGGACUGAGAUACGGCCCAGACUCCUACGGGAGGCAGCAGUGGGGAAUAUUGCACAAUGGGCGCAAGCCUGAUGCAGCGACGCCGCGUGAGGGAUGACGGCCUUCGGGUUGUAAACCUCUUUCAGUAGGGACGAGGCGAAAGUGACGGUACCUACAGAAGAAGGACCGGCCAACUACGUGCCAGCAGCCGCGGUAAUACGUAGGGUCCGAGCGUUGUCCGGAAUUACUGGGCGUAAAGAGCUCGUAGGUGGUUUGUCGCGUUGUUCGUGAAAACUCACAGCUUAACUGUGGGCGUGCGGGCGAUACGGGCAGACUAGAGUACUGCAGGGGAGACUGGAAUUCCUGGUGUAGCGGUGGAAUGCGCAGAUAUCAGGAGGAACACCGGUGGCGAAGGCGGGUCUCUGGGCAGUAACUGACGCUGAGGAGCGAAAGCGUGGGUAGCGAACAGGAUUAGAUACCCUGGUAGUCCAA
rnacentral:rRNA from 1 species